AGUGAACGCUGGCGGUAGGCCUAACACAUGCAAGUCGAACGGCAACACAGUAAGAGCUUGCUCUUACGGGUGGCGAGUGGCGGACGGGUGAGGAAUACAUCGGAAUCUACUUUUUCGUGGGGGAUAACGUAGGGAAACUUACGCUAAUACCGCAUACGACCUACGGGUGAAAGCAGGGGAUCUUCGGACCUUGCGCGAUUGAAUGAGCCGAUGUCGGAUUAGCUAGUUGGCGGGGUAAAGGCCCACCAAGGCGACGAUCCGUAGCUGGUCUGAGAGGAUGAUCAGCCACACUGGAACUGAGACACGGUCCAGACUCCUAAGGGAGGCAGCAGUGGGGAAUAUUGGACAAUGGGCGCAAGCCUGAUCCAGCCAUACCGCGUGGGUGAAGAAGGCCUUCGGGUUGUAAAGCCCUUUUGUUGGGAAAGAAAAGCAGCAGGUUAAUACCCCGCUGUUCUGACGGUACCCAAAGAAUAAGCACCGGCUAACUUCGUG
rnacentral:rRNA from 1 species